rnacentral:lncRNA from 1 species
AGGACCUUCACUAAGGGUUACCUUUACAGGGGAACGUGUCAUCAUCUCUCCAGACCCUCUAGGGAAUAUUCGGGCUUGAGCAAUCAUCUCUAAUACACUUGUUUUUCCUGCACUUUGAUCUCCAACGACUACCACUCGAGGUAGGUGAUCUUGAGUGUUAUAGCUGGCAUCAUAAUCAGACAGGAUAUCAAGUACUUCAGAAUACAUGUCAAUCAAAGAUUUCUUUAACUUUCUCUGAUGAAUUCCUUUGUCAUCUCUUUGCAGUACCAGUUUUCUUAAUUCUUU